AUCUUGCUCAUCGGAAGGAUAAAACCGUUGUUUUAUGAAUCAUCCUUGCAAGGAAACUAAGAUAAGGCCAAGUGAAAGCAACAAGCUUUCCUUAGCCACUGAUAUUAGUUCUGGAUUAUUCUAUAUCAUGGAAUGGUAUCAGUGUUUUCCUGCCUAAUUUAGAGUCUUCAUUUUCCUAUUCUCAAAACCUGAAUAACACGAUUAUCAUAUGUCGGCUGGUUUUCCAUCAUUCUGUUUUAUAUCAAAUCCAAAUUAACACAUGACAUAUCAUUGUGAUCACAAUUCCAAGAAUCACUAGGCCAAUCACUUUCCGCUUACAUGGAUAGCUGGAUUUGCGUCAUUUAUGCUAGAAUGACCAUAUGAUCGGGAACAGAAACAAGAUUGGAAAGGGAAGACUUCCUGCUUCGAAGAAUAGUACUGUUUCACCAAAUAGACAUGCUCUUGCUCAAUGUAAAGUUAAACCACACGACACUACUGAUAUUCCUCCGGAUGCAAGAAAAUGCGCAGAGCCUAAGUUUAAAGAUAAAAUCGAUACUGCAGGAAAGAAAAAAGUUCUUAAAGGUAGCAUAAAAUCUGAUAAUUUACAUAGGCACUGGAAGUUUUAGUUCCAAUGUAUCAUGAUCUUAAUCUAGGACUAGGUAUCCUCCGAAGGAAAAAGGAAAGAAUAAGAUAGUUGUGCAUGUUUUGAUGACAUGCUUAACACUUCAGCAUCAUCAAUUUUCAAUGUAUACUUGUGUGCUGUGUGAAUGUAAGAUUACUAUGCAACAGACCAAUGUCUGAGGUAUUGUAUAUCUUCUUUUUCUUUUGCUUCA